AGCAGCCGCGGUAAUUCCAGCUCCAAUAGCGUAUAUUAAAGUUGUUGCAGUUAAAAAGCUCGUAGUUGAAUUUCGGGAUCAGAUUGUUGGUCGUGCCUCGGUACGCACUGGCAUUAUUGGUUCCUACCUUCUGAAGAACCGCGAUGUCAUUAAUUUGGUGUCGUGGGGAAUCAGGACUGUUACUUUGAAAAAAAUUAGAGUGUUUAAAGCAGGCGCACGCUUGAAUACAUUAGCAUGGAAUAAUGAAAUAGGACGUUUGAUUCUAUUUUGUUGGUUUCUAGGAUCGACGUAAUGAUUAAUAGGGAUAGUUGGGGGCAUUAGUAUUCAAUUGUCAGAGGUGAAAUUCUUGGAUUUAUUGAAGACUAAACUACUGCGAAAGCAUUUGCCAAGGAUGUUUUCAUUAAUCAAGAACGAAAGUUAGGGGAUCGAAGACGAUCAGAUACCGUCGUA
rnacentral:rRNA from 1 species